UUGAUGCUGUAAUCUAGUUGGGUGUCAUGGUUUUUCCAAUUAUAGUUCUUCUCUGUGGACGUUGAGGGCUUCCCACAACUAAAGGAAGUUUUUUGCUAUCUGGCCAUUGGGAAAAAGGAAAAAAAAUUAAAUGUUUCAUUCUCAGGGUUCUUCAAAACAAACUUGUAGUCUUCUUGUAGUCACUCGUGGGAAAGUCUCUGAAUCCAAACGUAAAAAGGAUGUGCCGGAGAAUCAGCCGCUCUAUCCCUCUCCGGAGUUGGUCUCUUCAGGCCAUUUGGAGGUUCAAACUCUGACCAACCCAAGCAAAGAGGAGUUCUCUAAACUCCUUGAAUCAUAUAAGCCAAAUCUUGUAUACUUGCAAGGAGAACAGCUUGGGAAUGAUGAGGUUGGGCCUCUGGUUUGGGGAGAUGUCGACCUGUUGACCCUUUGAAUCGGUGUCGACCCCUUGAAUUGGUGUCCGAGCUCUUUGGCACUACAUUGCCUACCACGACAAGGCUUCAGGAUCUCUCUAGUUUGUCCACCUAUUUCCAAAAUACUUGUGGGAUUACUUCAGUGGAGAAGCAACUCUCUAUUUUAUACUUGUAGGGAUCUUCAGAUGGGCCCGAACAGUAUGUGGCAAUCAUGAAUGCCAUAUUUUCUGCACAGCGUUCUAUGGUUCCUAUAGAUUCUUGCUAUUUAGGCUCCAAUAAUUCUGCCUUCCUGCAGCAGGUAUGUAUCUAUAACUUGCAUCUCCUAACAGAUACUUAAUGCUUUAUUUACAGGUUAAAUAGUGGAAGACAAGACUUCAGGGCAAGAUUGUAUCUAUAACUUGCAUCUCCAAUUGGAGGGUAUGCAUCAACGGAAUCUUUUUUUCUCUUCAUAUUUGCAAGAUUGUAAUAGCACGUUUUUUUUUCUUUUCGGAUUUUUGUAUGUACGCAACAAAGACUCAUGCAACUUUC